AGCCAGCAGCCGCGGUAAGACAGAGGGUGCAAACGUUGCUCGGAAUCACUGGGCGUAAAGGGCGUGUAGGCGGAUCGGCAAGUCGGGCGUGAAAUCCCUGGGCUCAACCCAGGAACUGCACUCGAAACUGCCUUUCUUGAGUGCCGGAGAGGAAAGCGGAAUACCUGGUGUAGAGGUGAAAUUCGUAGAUAUCAGGUGGAACACCAGUGGCGAAGGCGGCUUUCUGGACGGUAACUGACGCUGAGACGCGAAAGCGUGGGGAGCAAACAGGAUUAGAUACCCUGGUAGUCCACGCUGUAAACGAUGAGUGCUAGGUGUCGUGGGUAUUGACCCCUGCGGUGCCGUAGCUAACGCAUUAAGCACUCCGCCUGGGAAGUACGGUCGCAAGACUAAAACUUAAAGGAAUUGGCGGGGGAC
rnacentral:rRNA from 1 species